CCAAUAGCGUAUAUUAAAGUUGUUGCAGUUAAAAAGCUCGUAGUUGAAUUUCGGGAUCAAGGAAUCGGUCAUGCCUUGGUAUGUACUGGUUUUAUUGGUUCUCACCUUCUAAAGAACCAUAAUGUCAUUUAUUUGAUGUUAUGGGGAAUUAGGACUGUUACCUUGAAAAAAUUAGAGUGUUUAAAGCAAGCUUACGCUUGAAUACAUUAGCAUGGAAUAAUGAAAUAGGACAUCAGAUUCUAUUUUGUUGGUUUCUAGGAUCGAUGUAAUGAUUAAUAGGGAUAGUUGGGGGCAUUAGUAUUCAAUUGUCAGAGGUGAAAUUCUUGGAUUUAUUGAAGACUAACUACUGCGAAAGCAUUUGCCAAGGAUGUUUUCAUUAAUCAAGAACGAAAGUUAGGGGAUCGAAGACGAUCAGAUACCGUCGUAGUCUUAACCAUAAACUAUGCCGACUAGGGAUCGGAUGAUGUUAAUUUUUUAAUGACUCAUUCGGCACCUUACG
rnacentral:rRNA from 1 species